rnacentral:rRNA from 1 species
AACGAACGCUGGCGGCAUGCCUAACACAUGCAAGUCGAACGAGACCUUCGGGUCUAGUGGCGCACGGGUGCGUAACGCGUGGGAACCUGCCCUUAGGUUCGGAAUAACUCCCCGAAAGGGGUGCUAAUACCGGAUAAUGUCUUCGGACCAAAGAUUUAUCGCCUUUGGAUGGGCCCGCGUUGGAUUAGCUAGUUGGUAGGGUAAAAGCCUACCAAGGCGACGAUCCAUAGCUGGUCUGAGAGGAUGAUCAGCCACACUGGGACUGAGACACGGCCCAGACUCCUACGGGGGGCGGCAGGGGGGAAUAUUGGACAAGGGGCGAAAGCCGGACCCAGCAAUCCCGGGGGGGUGAUGAAGGCCUGAGGGUUGAAAAGCUCUUUUCCCCGGGAUGAAAAGGACAGUCCCGGGAGAAAAAGCCCCGGCAAACCCCG